rnacentral:rRNA from 1 species
CAAUCUAAUGAAGGCAGCAGGCGCGCAAUUACCCAAUCCUAAUUAAGGGAGGUAGAGACAAGAAGUAGCAAUGUGGAAUAUUAUUUUAUUCUGCAAUUGGAAUGAGCCUAUUGUAAGUAUGUAAGUGAGAAGCCAUUGGAGGGCAAGUCUGGUGCCAGCAGCCGCGGUAAUUCCAGCUCCAAUAGCGUAUAUUAAAUUUGUUGCAGUUAAAAAGCUCGUAGUUGUAUACCUUUUUAUCUAGGCGUUUCGGUAAGCACUGUAAUCGCUGGAUGGUUUUGGAACGCGGAACGUAUCUGAGCUUUAUUGCUAAGUUAUGCUUAUGCGCGUGCUUUACUUUGAGGAAAUUAGAGUGUUCCAAGCAGACAUGGUUUGAAUACAAUAGCAUGGGAUAAUAGAGUGUAUCUUAAUAUUUGGCUUUACGGCCUCCAUAUUUUGAUGAGUUUCGAAAGGGAUGUCUGGGGACAUUCGUAUUAAGCUGUCAGAGGUGAAAUUCUUAGAUUUUCUUAAGACGAACAAAUGCGAAAGCAUCUGUCAAGGAUGUUUUCAUUGAUCAAGAACGAGAGUUAGGGGAUCGAAGACGAUUAGAUACCGUCCUAGUCUUAACAGUAAACUAUGCCUUCUAGGGGUUGGAAGUCGUUUACUUGCGCUUUCAGUCCCUUACGAGAAAUCAAAGUUGUUGGGUUCUGGGGGGAGUAUGGUCGCAAGACUGAAACUUAAAGGAAUUGACGGAAGGGCACCACCAGGAGUGGAGCCUGCGGCUUAAUUUGACUCAACACGGGGAAUCUUACUAGGUCCAGACAAUGGGAGGAUUGACAGUUUGAGGGCGCUUUCUUGAUUCUUUGGGUGGUGGUGCAUGGCCGUUCUUAGUUGGUGGAGUGAUUUGUCUGGUUAAUUCCGUUAACGAACGAGACCUUAACUAUCUAAAUAGGACUCAGAAAUAUUUUUCUUUGUGCUUCUUAGAAGGACUGUAUGUUUGAGCGUAAUGAAGUGUAAGGCAAUAACAGGUCUGUGAUGCCCUUAGAUGAUCUAGGCUGCACGCGCGCUACAAUGGUACUUUCAACGUGUUCUUCUUUGGAAAAUGUGGGAAAUCCUUUGAAAUCGUAUCGUGUUUGGGAUAGACUAUUGUAAUUUUUGGUCUUGAACGAGGAAUUCCUAGUAAGUGCGAGUCAUAAGCUCGUAUUGAUUACGUCCCUGCCCUUUGUACACACCGCCCGUCGCUCCUACCGAUUGAGUUAUCCGGUGAAUAAUUUGGAUCAGUGGUAAACUACGUAUGUGCUACCCGAUAGAUGAAGUUUGGAAAACCCUUUUGUUA